AACAAAGCAAGAAUCAAGAGGAGUAAUUUCGCAUUACAGAGAAAAGUCAAUAUGCUGAGAGACUUAAAGAAUAUUACUAGUAGCUUGAUUAGCUGAUUAAUUGAAUUUUUUAGUAGGUUAAUCCGGACACUUCAGCGCCGUUAUCGCUUAUAAGAGAGGUAUAGGUUCUAUAUCUAAUCGUAGGUGGUACCGCGGAAAAAUUUCGUCCUAGAC
rnacentral:ncRNA from 1 species